rnacentral:rRNA from 1 species
AGAGUUUGAUCAUGGCUCAGAAUGAACGUUGGCGGCGUGGAUUAGGCAUGCAAGUCGAGCGCGAUUCUUUUAGCAAUAAAAGAUGAAAGCGGCAAAAUGGAUAGUAACACGUGGAUACAUACCCUUGGGUCUGGGAUAGCGGCGGGAAACUGCCGGUAAUACCAGAUAAUGUCUUCGGACCAAAGAUUUAUUGCCCGAGGAGUGGUCCGCGUCCUAUUAGGUAGUUGGCGGGGUAAUGGCCCACCAAGCCGAAGAUGGGUAGCGGGUGUGAGAGCAUGGCCCGCAUCACUGGGACUGAGACACUGCCCAGACACCUACGGGUGGCUGCAGUCGCGAAUCUUCCACAAUGGACGAAAGUCUGAUGGAGCGACGCCGCGUGCGGGAUGAAGGCCUUCGGGUUGUAAACCGCUGUCGAGGGGAAUCAAAUUUUGAGUGAUCCCUGGAGGAAGCACCGGCUAAACUCGUGCCAGCAGCCGCGGUAAUACGAGUGGUGCAAACGUUGUUCGGAAUUACUGGGCUUAAAGGGUGCGUAGGCGGCUAUGAAGGUCUGAUGUGAAAUACCACGGCUCAACCGUGGAACUGCGUUGGAAACCACAUGGCUGGAGUGAGACAGAGGUAAGCGGAACUGAUGGUGGAGCGGUGAAAUGCGUUGAUAUCAUCAGGAACACCGGUGGCGAAAGCGGCUUACUGGGUCUUUACUGACGCUGAUGCACGAAAGCUAGGGGAGCAAACGGGAUUAGAUACCCCGGUAGUCCUAGCUGUAAACGAUGAGUACUAGUCCGUGGGGACCCCCACAUCCUCUCGGACGUAGCGAAAGUGUUAAGUACUCCGCCUGGGGAGUAUGGUCGC